rnacentral:misc_RNA from 1 species
AACGGUCUAUACCUGCGGUACCUGCGGAGGGAUCAUUAACGCGCCGUGGAGGUUGCCUUUAAACAGGUCUGACCUUCCACCUGGCCACCCUUGUUUAUCUUUAACCUGUUGCUUUGGUGGGCCCGCUGCAAGGCCGCUGGAGAAUUUAAAAGUUUUCUGGCCCGUGCCCACCAAAGUCCUAGUGAACUCUUUGUUAAUUUUCUGCUGUCUGAGCAUUAAAAGAGACAAUUUUUAAAACUU